rnacentral:tRNA from 1 species
GACCGCGUAGCUCAGUUGGCAGAGCAUUGGGCUAGUAUUCCAAAGGUCGUAGGUUCGAUUUCCACUGUGGCCA